UACGGAGGGGGUUAGCGUUGUUCGGAAUUACUGGGCGUAAAGCGUACGUAGGCGGAUCAGAAAGUAGGGGGUGAAAUCCCGAGGCUCAACCUCGGAACUGCCUCCUAAACUCCUGGUCUUGAGUUCGAGAGAGGUGAGUGGAAUUCCAAGUGUAGAGGUGAAAUUCGUAGAUAUUUGGAGGAACACCAGUGGCGAAGGCGGCUCACUGGCUCGAUACUGACGCUGAGGUACGAAAGUGUGGGGAGCAAACAGG
rnacentral:rRNA from 1 species